GAUGAACGCUGGCGGCGUGCCUAAUACAUGCAAGUCGAGCGAAGCGGGGACGGGUGAGUAACACGUGGAUAACCUCCUAUAAGACUGGGAUAACUUCUGGAAACCGGAGCUAAACCGGAUACUUAUCGAUGGAUCCGCGCUGCAUUAGCUAUGUGGUAAGGUAACGGCUAACCAAGGCAACGAUGCAUAGCCGACCUGAGAGGGUGAUCGGCAAAACUGGGACUGUGACACGGGCCAGAUCCCUACGGGAAGCAGCAGUAGGGAAUCUUCCGCAAUGGGCGAAAGCCUGACGGAGCAACGCCGCGUGAGUUAUGAAGGUCUUCGGAUCGUAAAACUCUGUUAUGAGGGAAGCGGUACCUAAACAGAAAGCCACGGCUAGCUACGUGCCAGCAGCCGCGGUAAUUA
rnacentral:rRNA from 1 species